ACUCCUACGGGAGGCAGCAGUGGGAAUAUUGGACAAUGGGGACCGUAGCAUCCAGCCAUGCCGCGCUGUGUGAAGAAGGCCUUAUGGUUGUAAAGCACUUUAAGCGAGGAGGAGGCUACUGAGACUAAUACUCUUGGAUAGUGGACGUUACUCGCAGAAUAAGCACCGGCUAACUCUGUGCCAGCAGCCGCGGUAAUACAGAGGGUGCGAGCGUUAAUCGGAUUUACUGGGCGUAAAGCGCGCGUAGGCGGCUUCGUCAGUCAGAUGUGAAAG
rnacentral:rRNA from 1 species